rnacentral:misc_RNA from 1 species
GGUCCCGAUAGUAUAAUAUGCUUAAUUUUGUUUUAAACACGUUUUCGAUGCAUAAUAAUAAUAUUUUUUAUAUGUACGAGGUUUGAAAGUCUAAAUACGAGAAUUUUAGCUGCAUACGUACGAGGAAGUUUGCUUUACGGUUGGCAACCCUGACACAAGCCUACUAUGAUGAACAGUACAGAUCCUGCUGUUCCUGUAACCGUUUUUUCUAAUUCGUUAUAACAAUAACAUUCUAUUCAAUUCAAUAACGUAGCUUUCAUCGGAUAAUUAAAUUUGAUGUGCAUUUAAAAUGUUCGGAUUUGUGAUUAUCCUAACCUUACUGAGCGUAUCGCUAUGCGAAGACCCGCAAGAAGAUUUGGUUGUGCACUACGCGGCUGUAAUAUUUAGACAUGGCGACAGGAGCCCCGUAGACAUGUAUCCUACCGAUCCAUACAGGAAUGAGUCUUUGUGGCCGGUCAAGUUCGGCCAGCUGACGAAUACCGGCAAGCGCCAACACUACGCGCUAGGGAAGUGGUUCAGGGAAAGAUAUGGGAAAAUGGUGUCUCCAAUAUUUGAUCCAACUGAAAUUAGAGUGAGGUCUACUGACGUGGAUCGCACAUUAAUGUCUGUUGAAGCUAAUUUGGCAGGAAUGUACCCGCCUGUAGGAAAAUCCGUUUGGAAUGAUAAAUUAAUGUGGCAGCCAAUUCCCGUCCAUACCGUUCCUGAAAAACGGGAUGAAGUUCUAGCUAUGGGAAGAAAAUGUGCUGCAUAUGAUAAGGCGCUUGAAGAAUACCAGAAUUCAAAGGAAUAUAAAGAAAGAUUAGCUAAAUAUCAAGACCUAAUGGAUUACAUGACUGCUUACACUGGCAAGAAGAUAAAGGAUUACUAUGAUAUUUUAAGUGUCUUCAGUAAUUUGAAUAUUGAGAAGUUCUACAACUUCACAUUACCAAAUUGGACUCAUAACGUGUAUCCUGACGAAAUGCGAGAGCCGGCCUGUUAUAGUUUCCGGCUUCCGACGAUGACACCACAGCUAGCGCGCCUGAAGGUCGGCCCCCUGAUCCAGGAGAUUGUGAUGAACAUGGCUAACACCUCUCUGACUUACCCGGAGGGCUACUCCAAGACUGUAAAACUGUCUCUGUACAGCGGCCACGAUAUCACCGUGGCGAAUGUUCUGAAUGCUCUUGGAAUGUUUGAUGGAAACUGCCCUGUGUACACGUCCACCAUUCUCAUGGAGCUUCUAUAUUCGAAUAACACAAACCAACAUUACAUAAGAAUAUCAUACAGAAAUUUCACUGACAUCCAAGAACCGCACGUACUGAAAAUACCAUACUGUGGAGAAGUUUGCAAAUUCAGCAGAUUUGUAACUCUUUACGAAAAGCUUUUAAAUAUUAAUUGGGACUUCGAGUGUGCUAACCAGGAGCCAUUUAGGGUAUUCAAAUGUGAAUGCUGAUAACAAGUCGCAGAAGAUUAUUGAGGCCUAGAUACUUAAUCUAAAUAAUAUUCCUUUGCCAAAGCAACUAUUGAAAAUAUCAUUGCAUUUUGUACUGCGUCCUAUUUUCCUGGAGAACUCUCGAACAAAUUAAACAACAUGCAAAAUGUAUCACUGAAAAUGACCAGCCAUUGGACGGAAUAUUUUCAACUCGUUACUUGAUACAACUUGGGAAUACUCGAGUACCAAAGACAAAGGCGAGGUGUUCUUUGACGUUGCAUGUGAUCUGACGUGUGACUGAAACUAUUAGAGUGGAGUAGGAAACUAAGAUAAAAAUAAUGUUUAGAAAUAAGUUUUAAUUUUGACAUGCAUGAAAUUUAAUGUAAUUAAGUACUUUUAAUUUAAUAUGUAAGUGUUUUGGUUAAGUACUGUAAACUUACGUAUUUGAAUAAAUAAAUUAAAUUAAGACGCGCACUGAUUAGUGAACAGUAUCUGGGCGACCGAGCUUCGCUCGGUUCUAUUUUUAACCCCCGACGCAAAAACGACGGGGUGUUAUAAGUUUGACGUGUCUGUCUGUCUGUCUGUCUCUCUGUUUGUCUGUCUGUGGCAUCGUAGC